rnacentral:lncRNA from 1 species
AGCCAUCUUGCUCAUUCUAGUUUAAACUUUUGAGUGGUUUGUGUCUCCUGAUUGGACUCCUACAAAUACAGAAUUGAUGCUAGGAAGGGUACCAGGAGAUAGACGCACACAGAUGGGAUUUGGGAAUAGGUUUGGUUAUCCAAGGAGCAGUGCUGAGCUCCUUGCUAAUGGGAUAUGGGAUGCUGAUGAUUUCCAGGAAGUGACCUCACAAUGACUCAAGCUACCACAUGCUGUUGAUUGUGAAAUGCCAGUUGAAGCAUAUGUCCUGCGAGCUUAGGGGUGCUACAAGUUGACCACUGCAGCAGUAAAGAUGACUCUGAAGAAUGGCGUGGGAUGGAUCCUUUCGAAUGCACUUGAGCAGCGGUCUCCAACCACAGGGCCACAGAGCUGGAGGUGAGCAGCAGCUGGAUCUACCAU